rnacentral:lncRNA from 1 species
UCUUUUCAUUUUUUUUCUAUUUUGCUCUGUUUUUGUUAUUUUUCUUCCUAGUUGCAGGUAUUGUUGCUUUUUAUUGUGGGAACAUCGAAGAAACAACAUUUCAACCCACCUUGCCAUCGUUAUUAACAACGAUUUACGGUUUAAAGUUCCUUUCUUCCUUUACUUUUGUAAUUUUUUGUUAUUUUUUUAAUUUUCUUAUUUUAUUCUACUUUAGUUUCAUUUUGUUGUUCUUGGAUUGUGGCUAGUUGGUUAGUAUUGUUUUUAAUUAGUUUGCAUUCAGAAAAUAGUAAAUAUGUCGCCUAGACCAUCGAAGAGGACACGAUCCUGACUAGAACCAGCUCCGUUGACUGAGUAUGUUUUGGGAAAAUUUAAAUCG